AAGUCGUAACAAGGUUUCCGUAGGUGAACCUGCGGAAGGAUCAUUAUCGAAAUUUCAAGUACUAGAUUGUAGCUGGCCUUGAUCAUCGAGAGAUGGGCAUGUGCACAUCUAUUAUCUUUUUCACACACACACACCCCCGUGAACCUAUUGUAGAUCGAGAGAUCUAUGUCUUUAUAACACAUCGUCGUCGUAUGUCUAUAGAAUGUCUACUAUCUUAUUACAACUUUCAGCAAUGGAUCUCUUGGUUCUC
rnacentral:misc_RNA from 1 species